rnacentral:rRNA from 1 species
UACGUAGGCAGCAAGCGUUGUUCGGAGUUACUGGGCGUAAAGAGUGCGUAGGCGGUCCUGUAAGUUUGGUGUGAAAUCUCCCGGCUCAACUGGGAGGGUGCGCCGAAGACUGCAGGGCUUGAGUAUGGGAGAGGUAAGCGGAAUUCCUGGUGUAGCGGUGAAAUGCGUAGAUAUCAGGAGGAACACCUGUGGUGUAGGCAGCUUACUGGACCAUAACUGACGCUGAGGCACGAAAGCGUGGGUAGCAAACAGG